GUUACGGCGGUUAUGGCGGGAAGGAAACACCCGGUUACAUUCCGAACCCGGAAGUUAAGCUUCUCUGCGCCGAUGGUACUGCACUCGGGAGGGUGUGGGAGAGUAGGUCACCGCCGGACAA
rnacentral:rRNA from 1 species